ACGCUGGCGGCGUGCCUAAUACAUGCAAGUCGAGCGAACGGACGAGAAGCUUGCUUCUCUGAUGUUAGCGGCGGACGGGUGAGUAACACGUGGAUAACCUACCUAUAAGGCUGGGAUAACUUCGGGAAACCGGAGCUAAUACCGGAUAAUAUUUUGAACCGCAUGGUUCAAAAGUGAAAGACGGUCUUGCUGUCACUUAUAGAUGGAUCCGCGCUGCAUUAGCUAGUUGGUAAGGUAACGGCUUACCAAGGCAACGAUGCAUAGCCGACCUGAGAGGGUGAUCGGCCACACUGGAACUGAGACACGGUCCAGACUCCUACGGGAGGCAGCAGUAGGGAAUCUUCCGCAAUGGGCGAAAGCCUGACGGAGCAACGCCGCGUGAGUGAUGAAGGUCUUCGGAUCGUAAAACUCUGUUAUUAGGGAAGAACAUAUGUGUAAGUAACUGUGCACAUCUUGACGGUACCUAAUCAGAAAGCCACGGCUAACUACGUGCCAGCAGCCGCGGUAAUACGUAGGUGGCAAGCGUUAUCCGGAAUUAUUGGGCGUAAAGCGCGCGUAGGCGGUUUUUUAAGUCUGAUGUGAAAGCCCACGGCUCAACCGUGGAGGGUCAUUGGAAACUGGAAAACUUGAGUGCAGAAGAGGAAAGUGGAAUUCCAUGUGUAGCGGUGAAAUGCGCAGAGAUAUGGAGGAACACCAGUGGCGAAGGCGACUUUCUGGUCUGUAACUGACGCUGAUGUGCGAAAGCGUGGGGAUCAAACAGGAUUAGAUACCCUGGUAGUCCACGCCGUAAACGAUGAGUGCUAAGUGUUAGGGGGUUUCCGCCCCUUAGUGCUGCAGCUAACGCAUUAAGCACUCCGCCUGGGGAGUACGACCGCAAGGUUGAAACUCAAAGGAAUUGACGGGGACCCGCACAAGCGGUGGAGCAUGUGGUUUAAUUCGAAGCAACGCGAAGAACCUUACCAAAUCUUGACAUCCUUUGACAACUCUAGAGAUAGAGCCUUCCCCUUCGGGGGACAAAGUGACAGGUGGUGCAUGGUUGUCGUCAGCUCGUGUCGUGAGAUGUUGGGUUAAGUCCCGCAACGAGCGCAACCCUUAAGCUUAGUUGCCAUCAUUAAGUUGGGCACUCUAAGUUGACUGCCGGUGACAAACCGGAGGAAGGUGGGGAUGACGUCAAAUCAUCAUGCCCCUUAUGAUUUGGGCUACACACGUGCUACAAUGGGCAAUACAAAGGGCAGCGAAACCGCGAGGUCAAGCAAAUCCCAUAAAGUUGUUCUCAGUUCGGAUUGUAGUCUGCAACUCGACUACAUGAAGCUGGAAUCGCUAGUAAUCGUAGAUCAGCAUGCUACGGUGAAUACGUUCCCGGGUCU
rnacentral:rRNA from 1 species